GUCUAAUAGACAUUAUAUAUAUCCUACAUCCUUGUCAUUAUAUUGGUGGUUUGUAUGUCAUGUGUUAUUGAUCAUUUGUCCCAUUUGCCAUUGUGUUCCAUUUACCGUGCAGAUUUGGUUCCAUGCGUUUUGUACCAUUUUACACCCUGAACACCACGCACUCACACUAGUGGUGACGGCACUUAGCUA